CGCCUAAACAAAAAUUAAUUCUCUCAAAUCCAUACAUAUAAUUUAAAAUAGGACACACUAGUCCCUCGAAAUACAAACUGUUCAAAAUAAGUGUACUGGAAAAAAAAUUUACACUCCUUUCGAACCAGGUAACCCCAUUUGCAAAACAUAUAUAAAAAUAUGCAGCGAACCCAUGAUAUAAAUACAUUUUCUGAUAAAAAUGCAUCAAUCCCAAAAAUAUGUAAUGUAUGUACUGACAAGACUAGACAUACAAUAAAUACACCAUGUGGCUCCACUCGCAGAUCGACAAGCUCCAAUGUCACUCAACGUAGCUACCAUCUGCUAAGAAAAAUGGUGAUAAAAAUAUGAGAUUG
rnacentral:lncRNA from 1 species